ensembl:snRNA U6 U6 spliceosomal RNA
GUGCUUGCUUCGAUAGUACACAAACUAAAAUUGGAGCUAUACAGAGAUUAGCCUGACCCCUGUGCAAGGAUGACACGCAGAUUCAUGAAGCAUUCCAUUAUUUU